GUGCUCAUUUCGGCAGCGUGUAUGCUGAAGUCGGAAUAAUACAGAGAUUAGCAUGGUCCCUGCACAAGUACGACAUGCAAAUUGGUGAAGCAUUUUGUAAUUUU
ensembl:snRNA U6 U6 spliceosomal RNA